UAAAUAUCUUCCUGUUUUUGUUUUUUACUGCGAGUGGUGGUCUGGAUUGUUUCAUUAAAUUGAGGUCAGCCUACAAAAGAGGACAAGGGCCAAGCUUAAAACAACCGUUUCUUUUGAGGCUCAUCCACUACACCGUGUUUUUGAUGAGCUCCGAAGUUCAUUCACUGAGCAAAUUAGGAUGUCUCGGUGUUCCACCGAGCGACUGAGAAGGUCUUUAGUGAAACUUAGGAUGCCUCGGUGUCAGGGGCGUGUCUAGGGGGUGGCCAGGGGUGGCACGUGCUACCCCUGGAAUCUGAUUGGCCACCCCAGGUGCCACCCCAUAUGCUAAACUAUGAUUGGCUAUCUGCCCACGGAGGCGGGAACGUUUGAAUUGUGUGACUACCGAACUUUCAUUUUCAACCGACAAGAAGACAUCAAGAAGACAUCAAGAGAUUGCGGCUACUCGCUCCUGAAAGAUGUGAGUAGCUAGAAUUAUUGAUAACAGUUACACAUAAUGAGUCAGUGGUUUAAAAAGUUUGAACUGUAAUAAGCUAAAACGUUUUUUGAUUUUCACGAUAUGUGGUGCAGGUCUGUCAUCAUCGCGACUGUCGACAGUGUCGACUGACUCAGCUUGCUGCCUAGCAAACCUGUCCAGGAUUCUUAGCUCCUGAAAGAUGUGAGUAGACUUAUUGAUACACAUGUGUGAAUGGUUUAAAAGCUAAAACGUUUUCCCAUCUUAUUUUAUUAUUUCCUGACUCAGCUUACUAGCAAACCUGUCGUCAUCAUUGUUUGGUUAUUGUCAACGAUGCUAACGCUAACGCUAAUGCUAACGCUAAUGCUAACGCUGAUGCUAACGCUAGCUAACUUAACGUUACAGUAUGUAAAUCUGUCUUGUAUCUCUUCUAACUUUGUAACAUUAGACCUGAGUAAGUUUUGCAUGUCACAUUCAUUCAUGCAUUCAUAAUUAGGCUAAAUGUAUUGUGCAAGAUAUAGUGACAUGCAUCAUGACAUGCGACUAUUACAGUAUGAAAAGAAAUCAGAACAUUCAGGGAUUCUUCAAAAGAAAGAAAUCCAAAACAACAGAGCAGGACAGAGCAGCAGAAGCCAGCAGUGCUAGUCAGUCUGAGGAUGAGAGCCAGCUUGACUCUGCUAGGGAUGUACAGCAGGAGCCUCCAGCUUCAGCUGUACACAUGGACUCAGACAAGGAUACUGGUGAUGAAGGCCCUUCAUCUUCACUUGCACAUCAGGGUAUGUAAUGUAUGCAUCUUUAUAAAACUAUCUGCUAUGACUUGAGAUGUUUCACUUUUGCUAUACUUAUAGUGGCUUAUACUGAGAUUCAGGGCAAAGCCCUAUUUUUAACAAUACAGGUGUGAAAAAGCUAAAUAUGACUAAUUUGACAUACAAAUAAAUUGAUACAACUGUUAAAAUCCCUAUAUUACUUCAGGUGUGUCAAGUCAGCCACUCUCUGACAAUGACACUGACACUGAGAACCAUCCAGCAGUACCUGCAGGCCAUGCAGUGACACGUGGGGAUGGUGAUGCAGCAGCCCUUGUGGCCCCACCUGGACCUCAUGAUAUUUCACAGUCAAGAGCAGCAGGUCCCUCUCAGCCUCGUUUAAAGGUUUUUCCAAGAACCCUCCAAGGUGAGAAGAGGAGGGCGUUCAAUCCAGUGUGGUUUAACCACAAUUCCUGGCUUGAAUACUCACAAAGCAAAGAUUCAGCCUACUGUUACGCAUGCAGACACUUCUCCCUGCCUGGCGCGUCAGAAUCUGUUUUCUCCUCAGAAUCAGGCUUUUCACACUGGAAAAAAGCAACGUACAAAGAUGCUGGCUUUAAGUUGCAUGAGAAAUCUGAGUCUCACAUUAAUGCCAUGUUUGCUUGGAAUGAGCACAAGAGGCUAUUGCUUACAGAUUCUUCUAUCUUAGAUAUGAUUAACAAAGAGUACAAAAAGAAAGUUGAAGAGAAUCGCAGUUACAUUAAAACAGUUGCAGAUGUACUGCUUUUGACAGCAACACAGAAUAUAGCACAAAGAGGUCACCGUGAAUCGGAAGAAUAUGACAACAAAGGGAAUUUCUUAGGAAUUCUAGAAAUGAUCGCUAAACACAAUCCUAUGGUAGCCCAAAAAAUGAAGGGACAACGCAAUGCAAAAUACACAAGCAAUACCAUACAGAAUGAAAUUCUGCAGUGCUUAGCAAGUAUGGUGCGUGAUGAGAUUGUGAAGGAAGUGAAGGAGAGUGUGGUAUUCUCUGUCAUUGCUGAUGAAACCAAAGAUC